UUCGUGUUUCUGUCGCGUGUCUUUGCGGAUGUUGGGCUCCGCAGCCUCGACUCACGUCCCGUCAGUUUCCUCGUCCUCGUCGUCCCUCCAGCGACCCGGGCCUCACCACACUCUCACCCCGGGGGGUUCUAGGCCCUGACUGGAGCAUCUCUGGAGACACCUGGAAAUGGCCGUCCGCAUGAUGAUCCCCAUCCAACCUGGCAGAGGUGAGGAUCUGCAGGUGAGCAACGCUUCUUGUGUCGUACCCAAGAAAGAUGCCAAAGAGCUUCUUCCCCUCAGCAGCUCCACUGUCCCGGGCCACGGCAGACGCUCCAUCGAGAGGAGAUUACAGCGCUCGUCGUCUUUGUUCUGCACUAAUCACCCCCCUGUCUCUGCUCCAUGUUCAUGAAUGGUGAUUCUUUAUUUUAUUUUUUUCAGGACUUGCAAAAGCUAGAAAUGUAGCUCGCUGAUUAGGUUUCACUAAUCACAGUUUCAUUAGCCUUUAGUUCCCAGUCGCUAUUCUUCUCUUGCUUUUUUUGGGGGGGGGGGCUCAGCUCACUCAUUCAAAUGGAGAGUGACAUCGUGAUUAGGAAUUGUGUAUGCGCCUUUCGGAGCUUGUAAAUAAAUCAUCUGGGUUUUCAUCUCGGGGGGUGUCCUCUAAGAGAUGUAGGACGUGCUUUGUUUGAGCUGCUGACACUGUUUUGUCACGGCAAAAAAAGCAUUUUUUUUGUCAUUUACAUUCAAUUAAAUUGAACAUAAUUAAAAUAAAAUGAAUGUUGUGCUGCAGAGA